UACGUAGGGUGCAAGCGUUAAUCGGAAUUACUGGGCGUAAAGCGUGCGCAGGCGGUUUUGUAAGCCAGGUGUGAAAUCCCCGGGCUCAACCUGGGAAUGGCAUUUGGGACUGCAAGGCUGGAGUGCGGCAGAGGAGACUGGAAUUCCUGGUGUAGCAGUGAAAUGCGUAGAUAUCAGGAGGAACACCGAUGGCGAAGGCAGGUCUCUGGGCUGAUACUGACGCUGAGGAGCGAAAGCGUGGGGAGCGAACAGG
rnacentral:rRNA from 1 species